rnacentral:rRNA from 1 species
AUACGGAGGGUGCAAGCGUUGUUCGGAAUCACUGGGCGUAAAGGGCGCGCAGGCGGUUUGGUAAGUCAGAUGUGAAAGCCCACGGCUCAACCGUGGAAGUGCAUUUGAAACUGUCAGACUUGAGUACUAGAGGGGAAAGUGGAAUUCCCGGUGUAGAGGUGAAAUUCGUAGAUAUCGGGAGGAAUACCGGUGGCGAAGGCGACUUUCUGGCUAGAUACUGACGCUGAGGCGCGAAAGCGUGGGGAGCAAACAGGAUAAGAAACCCUAGUAGUCC